GUGCGUCAAAAUCCCGUAGGAUUUUGGCUUGCGUACAACGCCAAAAUAGAAAUUGGCGCAGCGUUGGAGAUGACCUUAAUUUAAUUUAAUUGAGAAAGCGACCAAAAGGGAAGAGGGUUCCAUGACCGGUGAAAGAGAAUCCUUGACCUCGGGUAGGCCGAGCAACUGAAAUUUUAGCCAGGCUGUGGUUGCAUGAUGCAGGAUAUGGUGUUAGCCAGUGAAAUCGAUGCCUGAGCCCAAUUGACUCUUAGCGGUAGUUUUAUACCUAUAAUAGAUUGUAUUUCUGAUGGUUAUGGUUAUCCCAGGUUGUUCCGGGAAUCUUUCAUUGUUUACUUGAGUUUUGGGUGUAUUAUCAUCGCUGCAAUGAUAUUGUUGGGUGUGAUUUAGUUGAUUUUGUUGUCUAGGCUUAUGCUAGUUGAAUAUUAGACAAUUUUCUCGCCAGUAGUCUGUUUGUUUUUUCUGGUCUAUGCAACGACAGUGACAGUGGUUCUUUGGCUUUUUGGGUUUUGUUUGUGUUAUGAAUUGUUGUAGUCUUCUGGAUUUUAGGUUUGGCGAGCUUAAUUCUUGUUGUUUGAUCUUUUCAUCCUAUUAGAUUUAUUUCUAGCGC